rnacentral:rRNA from 1 species
AUGCUUAACACAUGCAAGUCGAACGGUAACAGAUAAGAUGAUCUCUUCGGAGUGAAUCUUUGCUGACGAGUGGCGGACGGGUGAGUAAUGCUUGGGAAUCUGCCCAAUAGUGGGGGAAAACUCGGGGAAACCCGGGCUAAUACCGCAUAAUCUCUACGGAGGAAAGAGGGCCUCUACUUGUAAGCUCUCGCUAAUGGAUGAGCCCAAGUCAGAUUAGCUAGUUGGUAAGGUAAUGGCUUACCAAGGCUACGAUCUGUAGCUGGUCUGAGAGGAUGAUCAGCCACACUGGGACUGAGACACGGCCCAGACUCCUACGGGAGGCAGCAGUGGGGAAUAUUGCACAAUGGGCGCAAGCCUGAUGCAGCAAUGCCGCGUGUGUGAAGAAGGCUCUAGGGUUGUAAAGCACUUUCAAUAGAGAAGAAAAGCUUGAAAUUAAUACUUUCAAGCCUUGACGUAAUCUAUACAAGAAGCACCGGCUAAUUCCGUGCCAGCAGCCGCGGUAAUACGGGAGGUGCGAGCGUUAAUCGGAAUUACUGGGCGUAAAGCGAGCGUAGGCUGUUAAUUAAGUCGAAUGUGAAAUCCCCGGGCUCAACCUGGGAACUGCAUCCGAAACUAUUUAACUAGAGUAUGGGAGAGGAAAGUAGAAUUUCCGGUGUAGCGGUGAAAUGCGUAGAUAUCGGAAGGAACACCAGUGG